rnacentral:snRNA from 1 species
AUGUGAGGGUGAUCUGGCUGCAACAUUUGUCACCCUGCUGAUCACCAGGGUUUAUUCAGCUGAUCUGGCUGGCUAGGCAGAUGUCCCCUUUCUCCUUCACCACUGGAUGUGUACCACUCCCAGAGCUGUGCACUCAGUCAUAGAGAAGGACCUUCCCCAGUAGAGGAGGACCAUUUUCAGUCAAGGGUAUACAAGUAGCUGUGCUCCCCAAUCAGGCAGUAAUUUGCUGUCAGCAUGCAAUAAAAAGGUCUCCAGCUGUU